UACAGAGGUCCCGAGCGUUGUUCGGAUUCACUGGGCGUAAAGGGUGCGUAGGUGGCAUGGCAAGUUUGAUGUGAAAGCUCAGGGCUUAACCCUGAAAUGGCAUUGAAUACUGCUGUGCUGGAGGUUUGGAGGGGGGACUGGAAUUCUUGGUGUAGCAGUGAAAUGCGUAGAUAUCGGGAGGAACACCAGUGGCGAAGGCGACUACCUGGCCUGUUCUUGACGCUGAGGCGCGAAAGCUAGGGGAGCAAACGGG
rnacentral:rRNA from 1 species